UACGUAGGGUGCGAGCGUUGUCCGGAAUUAUUGGGCGUAAAGAGCUCGUAGGCGGUCUGUCGCGUCUGCUGUGAAAUCCCGAGGCUCAACCUCGGGCUUGCAGUGGGUACGGGCAGGCUAGAGUGCGGUAGGGGAGAUUGGAAUUCCUGGUGUAGCGGUGGAAUGCGCAGAUAUCAGGAGGAACACCGAUGGCGAAGGCAGAUCUCUGGGCCGUAACUGACGCUGAGGAGCGAAAGCAUGGGGAGCGAACAGG
rnacentral:rRNA from 1 species